rnacentral:rRNA from 1 species
UGGGGAAUUUUGGACAAUGGGCGCAAGCCUGAUCCAGCCAUGCCGCGUGCGGGAAGAAGGCCUUCGGGUUGUAAGCCGCUUUUGUCAGGGAAGAAAUCUUCUGAGUUAAUACCUCGGGAGGAUGACGGUACCUGAAGAAUAAGCACCGGCUAACUACGUGCCAGCAGCCGCGGUAAUACGUAGGGUGCAAGCGUUAAUCGGAAUUACUGGGCGUAAAGCGUGCGCAGGCGGUUUUGUAAGACAGAGGUGAAAUCCCCGGGCUCAACCUGGGAACUGCCUUUGUGACUGCAAGGCUUGAGUGCGGCAGAGGGGGAUGGAAUUCCGCGUGUAGCAGUGAAAUGCGUAGAUAUGCGGAGGAACACCGAUGGCGAAGGCAAU